rnacentral:rRNA from 1 species
GUUUAGCCUGCCCACUGAUUUAUAUUUAAAUGGCCGCAGUAUUCUAACUGUGCAAAGGUAGCAUAAUCAUUAGUCUUUUAAUUGAAGGCUCGUAUGAAUGGUUGGACGAAAUAUAAACUGUUUCAUUAAAUUUUAUAAUAGAAUUUUAUUUUUUAGUUAAAAAGCUAAAAUUUAUUUAAAAGACGAGAAGACCCUAUAGAUCUUGAUAAUUUAAUGAUUUUAAUUAUUUAGAUAAUUUAAAUUAUAAUUUAUAUAAAUUAUUUUAUUGGGGUGAUAUUAAAAUUUAUUAAACUUUUAAUAGUAAAAAUAACAUUAAUGUAUGAAUAAUUGAUCCAUUAUUAAUGAUUAAUAAUUUAAGUUACCUUAGGGAUAACAGCGUAAUUUUUUUGGAGAGUUCAUAUCGAUAAAAAAGAUUGCGACCUCGAUGUUGAAUUAAGAGAUAGUUUUGGGAGUAGUAAUUCAAAAUUC